rnacentral:misc_RNA from 1 species
UGUUUGAUGUUACUAGCUGCUUAUCCAGAAUGGCAAGCUCGUGCCCGUGCUGAGGUGCUUGAUGUGUGUGGUAGUAAGUUGCCAAAUGAUUCUAUGCUUAGACAAAUGAAAGUGCUGACAAUGAUCAUCCAUGAAACGUUACGUUUGUACCCCCCAGUAGCGUUUGUGGUGAGAGAAGCAUUGCAGGAUAUAAGUUUUAAGAGAAUUGAGAUCCCAAAAGGGACUAAUAUUGAGAUUCCAAUCCCAAUCCUGCAUCAGCAGCCUGAACUCUGG